rnacentral:rRNA from 1 species
AACGCUGACAGAAUGCUUAACACAUGCAAGUCGAUGAUGGGAGCUAGCUUGCUAGAAGAAGUCAUGGCGGACGGGUGAGUAACGUGUAAAGAACUUACCAUAUAGACUGGGAUAACAGAGGGAAACUUCUGAUAAUACUGGAUAAGUUAGAAGUAGCAUUACUAAGUAAUGAAAGGUAGCAAUACGCUAUAUGAGAGCUUUGCAUCCUAUUAGCUAGUUGGUGGGGUAAAAGCCUACCAAGGCGAUGAUAGGUAGCCGGCCUGAGAGGGUGGACGGCCACAAGGGGACUGAGAUACGGCCCUUACUCCUACGGGAGGCAGCAGUGGGGAAUAUUGGACAAUGGAGGCAACUCUGAUCCAGCAAUUCUGUGUGUGUGAAGAAGGUUUUAGGACUGUAAAACACUUUUAGUAGGGAAGAAAGAAAUGACGGUACCUACAGAAGAAGCGACGGCUAAAUACGUGCCAGCAGCCGCGGUAAUACGUAUGUCGCGAGCGUUAUCCGGAAUUAUUGGGCUUAAAGGGCAUCUAGGCGGUUAAACAAGUUGAAGGUGAAAACCUGUGGCUCAACCAUAGGCUUGCCUACAAAACUGUAUAACUAGAGUACUGGAAAGGUGGGUGGAACUACACGAGUAGAGGUGAAAUUCGUAGAUAUGUGCAGGAAUGCCGAUGAUGAAGAUAACUCACUGGACAGCAACUGACGCUGAAGUGCGAAAGCUAGGG